ACGCCAUUGCGCGCCAGUUUUCUGGCAUUCCUCGCCGGCUAUAUCACAUACACGUUCACAAAGCUGGAAGAGCCCCCACAUCACGAGGUGCGUGUUGUGCAUAGCUGAGUAAAGGUUUUGCCGUUAUGAGCCCCCGAGUUGCAGGCUUCCUCAUCGGCGGUUUUGUGACGGCGAUGGCAUCUGCUAUCCUGCUGCAGUACGACGUCCUCCGCAAGCAAGAGCUGACCACCAGGAAGACGGAGGAGGUAGCCGUGCAAGCAGACAUGAUCGUGCAUCGGUUUCAUGUAGUAGAGGCAGGGUUGCGUACCCUAUCGGAGGGCGGUGAGGCCCGCCCCAGCACUACGUGAACGGGACGGAGCGCUGUUAUUGAAAGGUGGCGUGUGUCCGUUUUUUUUCUCGCGCGAAGCGACCAACAGGCCACAGUAGCCACCAUUAAAAACGGCAAGGAAGCGCCGAUCUGUUGUCUUCACUGUUUUGCGCUGUUUUCCCCUUCGUAUCCGCUACCAU
rnacentral:misc_RNA from 1 species